rnacentral:rRNA from 1 species
CCCUUAGAUGUUCUGGGCCGCACGCGCGCUACACUGAUGCAUUCAACGAGUCUAAAACCUGGUCUGAUAGGGCUGGGUAAUCUUUUGAAUGUGCAUCGUGAUUGGGAUAGAUGAUUGCAAUUCUUCAUCUUCAACGAGGAAUGCCUAGUAAACGCAAGUCAUCAGCUUGCAUUGAUUACGUCCCUGCCCUUCGUACACACCGCCCGUCGCUCCUACCGAUUGAAUGUUCCGAUGAAUACCAUGGACUGAGAGUAUGAAUGGGUUCGCCUAUUUCUGCUUCUCGGGAAGUGGAGUAAAUCUUAACAUUUAGAGGAAGGAGAAGUCGUAACA